rnacentral:rRNA from 1 species
GUUGACCUCGGAUCAGGUAGGAAUACCCGCUGAACUUAAGCAUAUCAAUAAGCGGAGGAAAAGAAACCAACAGGGAUUGCCCUAGUAACGGCGAGUGAAGCGGCAACAGCUCAAAUUUGAAAUCUGGCCUCCCCACGGGGGUCCGAGUUGUAAUUUGCAGAGGAUGUCUUCUGGCGCGGUGCCUUCCGAGUUCCCUGGAACGGGACGCCACAGAGGGUGAGAGCCCCGUAGCGGUCGGAUACCAAGCCUGUGUGAAGCUCCUUCGACGAGUCGAGUAGUUUGGGAAUGCUGCUCUAAAUGGGAGGUAAAUCUCUUCUAAAGCUAAAUACUGGCCAGAGACCGAUAGCGCACAAGUAGAGUGAUCGAAAGAUGAAAAGCACCUUGAAAAGGGGGUUAAACAGUACGUGAAAUUGUUGAAAGGGAAGCGCUCAUGACCAGACUUGCGCCGGGCGGCUCAGCAGGUGGUUCUGCCCCUGUGUACUCCGUCCCGGUUCAGGCCAGCAUCGGUUCUCGUUGGGGGAUAAGAACGGUGGGAACGUGGCCCUCCCUCGGGGGGGUGUUAUAGCCCGCCGUAACGAUACCCUGGCGGGGACCGAGGUUCGCGCAUCUUGCAAGGAUGCUGGCGUAAUGGUUAUCAGCGACCCGUCUUGAAACACGGACCAAGGAGUCGUCCUUUAGAGCGAGCGUCUGGGUGUCAAAACCCGCACGCGUAAUGAAAGUGAAAUUAGGUGAGAGCCCUCACGGGCGCAUCAUCGACCGAUCCUGAUGUUCUCGGACGGAUUUGAGUAAGAGUUUUAACGGACGGACCCGAAAGACAGUGAACUAUGCUUGUAUAGGGUGAAGCCAGAGGAAACUCUGGUGGAGGCUCGCAGCGGUUCUGACGUGCAAAUCGAUCGUCAAAUAUGAGCAUGGGGGCGAAAGACUAAUCGAAC